CCUACGGGGGGCUGCAGUGAGGAAUCUUGCACAAUGGGGGAAACCCUGAUGCAGCGAUGCCGCGUGCGGGAUGAAGGCCCUAGGGUUGUAAACCGCUUUCAGUAGGGAAGAAAGUGACGGUACCUACAGAAGAAGCCCCGGCCAACUAUGUGCCAGCAGCCGCGGCGAUACAUAGGGGGCUAGCGUUGUCCGGAUUUACUGGGCGUAAAGAGCUCGUAGGCGGUUUAAUAAGUCGACAAGUGAAAUCUCCAGGCUCAACCUGGAGCGGCCUUGCGAUACUAUUAUGACUUGAGUGUGGUAGAGGAGUGUGGAAUUCCCAGUGUAGCGGUGAAAUGCGCAGAUAUUGGGAGGAACACCUAUGGCGAAGGCAGCACUCUGGGCCAUUACUGACGCUGAGGAGCGAAAGCGUGGGGAGCGAACAGGAUUAGAUACCCCUGUAGUC
rnacentral:rRNA from 1 species